rnacentral:ncRNA from 1 species
AGAACAUCUCGUAGGGCGCGAGAUGGGUAAAAUAAAAAAUGCCCACCGAGA